rnacentral:rRNA from 1 species
GACGAACGCUGGCGGCGUGCUUAACACAUGCAAGUCGAACGGAAAGGCCCUGCUUUUGUGGGGUGCUCGAGUGGCGAACGGGUGAGUAACACGUGAGUAACCUGCCCUUGACCUUGGGAUAACUUCAGGAAACUAGGGCUAAUACCGGAUAGGAGCUCCUGCUGCAUGGUGGGGGUUGGAAAGUUUCGGCGGUUGGGGAUGGACUCGCGGCUUAUCAGCUUGUUGGUGGGGUAGUGGCUUACCAAGGCUUUGACGGGUAGCCGGCCUGAGAGGGUGACCGGCCACAUUGGGACUGAGAUACGGCCCAGACUCCUACGGGAGGCAGCAGUGGGGAAUAUUGCACAAUGGGCGGAAGCCUGAUGCAGCAACGCCGCGUGCGGGAUGACGGCCUUCGGGUUGUAAACCGCUUUCGCCUGUGACGAAGCGUGAGUGACGGUAAUGGGUAAAGAAGCACCGGCUAACUACGUGCCAGCAGCCGCGGUGAUACGUAGGGUGCGAGCGUUGUCCGGAUUUAUUGGGCGUAAAGGGCUCGUAGGUGGUUGAUCGCGUCGGAAGUGUAAUCUUGGGGCUUAACCCUGAGCGUGCUUUCGAUACGGGUUGACUUGAGGAAGGUAGGGGAGAAUGGAAUUCCUGGUGGAGCGGUGGAAUGCGCAGAUAUCAGGAGGAACACCAGUGGCGAAGGCGGUUCUCUGGGCCUUUCCUGACGCUGAGGAGCGAAAGCGUGGGGAGCGAACAGGCUUAGAUACCCUGGUAGUCCACGCUGUAAACGGUGGGUACUAGGUGUGGGGUCCAUUCCACGGGUUCCGUGCCGUAGCUAACGCUUUAAGUACCCCGCCUGGGGAGUACGGCCGCAAGGCUAAAACUCAAAGGAAUUGACGGGGCCCCGCACAAGCGGCGGAGCAUGCGGAUUAAUUCGAUGCAACGCGUAGAACCUUACCUGGGUUUGACAUGGAUCGGGAGCGCUCAGAGAUGGGUGUGCCUCUUUUGGGGUCGGUUCACAGGUGGUGCAUGGCUGUCGUCAGCUCGUGUCGUGAGAUGUUGGGUUAAGUCCCGCAACGAGCGCAACCCUUGUUCACUGUUGCCAGCACGUUAUGGUGGGGACUCAGUGGAGACCGCCGGGGUCAACUCGGAGGAAGGUGGGGAUGACGUCAAGUCAUCAUGCCCCUUAUGUCCAGGGCUUCACGCAUGCUACAAUGGCUGGUACAGAGAGUGGCGAGCCUGUGAGGGUGAGCGAAUCUCGGAAAGCCGGUCUCAGUUCGGAUUGGGGUCUGCAACUCGACCUCAUGAAGUCGGAGUCGCUAGUAAUCGCAGAUCAGCAACGCUGCGGUGAAUACGUUCCCGGGGCUUGUACACACCGCCCGUCAAGUCAUGAAAGUUGGUAACACCCGAAGCCGGUGGCCUAACCGUUGUGGGGGAGCCGUCGAAGGUGGGACUGGUGAUUAGGACU